CAACUUUCAUCCUAUACCGUUGGAUCGACAAAUGGACGUUCGAGAUUCGUCCACGUCACCAUGAGUUAAAAUUAACUCUCAUUAUAUGUUAGCUCAUGAGUGAAUCUGCUAGUUUAAUUUUAACUCAGGUGACGUGGACGAAUCUCGGACGUCUAUUUCUCGAUCCAACGGUGUAGAAUGAGAGUUG
rnacentral:pre_miRNA from 1 species